CGCUUUGGCGAAUGUAAGUCGCUUUGGAUAAAAGCGUCUGCUAAAUGACUAAAU
rfam:Danio rerio chromosome 20, GRCz11 reference primary assembly.